rnacentral:rRNA from 1 species
UACGAAGGGGGCAAGCGUUGUUCGGAAUUACUGGGCGUAAAGGGCGCGUAGGCGGCUUAUCAAGUCAGGCGUGAAAUUCCCGGGCUCAACCUGGGGGCUGCGCUUGAUACUGACUGGCUUGAAUGCGGGAGAGGAUAGUGGAAUUCCCAGUGUAGAGGUGAAAUUCGUAGAUAUUGGGAAGAACACCGGUGGCGAAGGCGGCUAUCUGCCCGUAAUUGACGCUGAGGCGCGAAAGCGUGGGGAGCAAACAGG